UUCUCGGUGGCGCAGUUGGUUAGUGUGCUUAUCUAGAAACUAAGAGGCUGCAGGUUCGAUCCCUGCUCUGAGCAA